rnacentral:lncRNA from 1 species
CUUUAUUACAGCAAGCAAUUGAUUACAAGGAAGACGUACACUACAGACCAUCGCUAUGACUGCCUGCAGGCUGGGUGCAGUUCACCUUUACCGUCAGACAGCACGUUUCCUACAGCAGUGGGACUGACUGAAGCGCACCACGAUCCCGAUCCUGCUCACACUAAGGUGCUGAGGGCUUAGCAGCUGGGUGCAGUGACAGCAAAAACAGAUCCCAAUUACUCAAACGAUGCACUUGUGAAUGCAACACUUCGAUGACAAUUUCAGACUGAGACAUGAGGCGGGCGUGUGUCAGUGUAAAAGAGUGGAUUAGGCAGGCUUGCUUCCGUCUGGGCUGGAGACACACGUAUGCAUAAUUGAUUCCUGACAUCUUCUUCUCCCCCAUGCUGUCCCCACGAGGCCACCCCUGUCCAGCUAUGUAUGAAUGAACAGAAGUGUCUUUCAUCCCCCACUUGCUUCCCGGUUCAAAAGGAACUACAAAAAUAGCAGCAACAAAAAUCCAGCAGCCUGCCAAAAGGCCUGCACACG